CAAUAGGUCUUUUUUAAGACCACCUUUUUCCGCAUUUCCAUCCCUU
rfam:Picea glauca, whole genome shotgun sequence.